GAUGAAGAACGUAGUGAAAUGCGAUAAGUAAUGUGAAUUGCAGAAUUCCGUGAAUCAUCGAAUCUUUGAACGCACAUUGCGCCCCCUGGUAUUCCGGGGGGCAUGCCUGUCCGAGCGUCAUUGCAACCUUCAAGCGCGGCUUGUGUGUUGGGGUCCUGCGGCUGCCCGCAGGCCCUGAAAACCAGUGGCGGGCUCGCUAGUCACACCGAGCGCAGUAGCACAUCUCGCUCAGGGCGUGCGGCGGGCUCCAGCCGUUAAAGCACCCACCUUUCGCAAGGUUGACCUCGGAUCAGGUAGGAAUACCCGCUGAACUUAAGCAUAUCAAUAAGCGGAGGA
rnacentral:misc_RNA from 1 species